CCUACGGGUGACAGCAGUGGGGAAUAUUGCGCAAUGGGCGCAAGCCUGACCCAGCGAAGUAGCGUGAAGGAUGAAGGUCCUAGGGUUGGAAACCUCCGUCUGUAGGGGAGUAAGGUCACUGUGGUAUUCAGCAGUGAAUUGACGGUAUGUGUAAAGGACGCCCAGGUUAACUCCGUGACCGCAGCCGCGGUAAUACGGCGGGGGCGAGCGUUAAUCGGUAUUACUGGGAGUAAGGGGCUCGUAGCCGGUAUGUCAAGUCAGUGGUGAAAUCCCCGCGCUCAACGUGGGAACUGCCUUGGAAACUGGCAAACUGGAGUGUGGUGGAGGGUAGUGGAAUUCCAGGUGUAGGGGUGAAAUCCUUAGAUAUCUGGAAGAACCUCAGUGGCGAAGGCAGCUAUCUGGAACAUAACUGACGCUGAGGCGCGAAAGCGUGGGUAGCAAACAGGAUUAGAUACCCUUGUAGUC
rnacentral:rRNA from 1 species